AAUGCACGCAUGCGUAUUAACGUAAAACAGAGACUUCAAAUCUUUUUACGAGCGUAUUGCAAACUUUUGUGGAUAAAAAGCAAAAAAUAUCACAAAAGACUAACUGUGCUGCCAUUACAAUGAAUUUACAACGUUUGAAAACAUGCCAGAACCUGUAUAGGGCUUAAAUAGAUUUGUUUCGUAUUCUAAAAUUGCGUACGCAAAAGCUUUGCGUGACUCGGACCUGGCGGCUUCGGAGGAGUCUAAAAUUACGCACUUUUUUCGAACGUAACUCAAGAUAGGUGCGAAAGCGGGUAUUGAAUGACUGACAUGUAAGACUGCACAAUAAUUAGAGCAAUAAUAGUGUUCUUUUAUUUCUCUUGAAUAAUUAUUUUUUGUCCUCUUCGUGGCAUCGUAAUUACUCGAUUUUGUGUAACAUUCUCUCUUUGAAGAAGCCGAUGUUUAUGAAAUGUACCGCUGGAACAAGAACCUAUAGAAAAUGUUUUUAAUUAAUUAGACAUUUCGAUUGUGCUAAAGGUCAUUACUCGGAAAAUAUGAUAGUAAUUAGUUCUCCAUAUCAAUUGUUCUAAAAGUCAUUACUAGAACGAGGAAAGUUACAUUGUACUAAAAGCCAGAUUGCGUAUUGUACGAAUAAAGAAUGCUAUUCAACUCUCAUGUUCAUGUUCAGAAAUAAUGGGAUUUUCGACAAAGAAAAGGUAUAAAAACAGUGAGUUUGUCAUUGAACGAAACAUCAUCAUGGCGGAGGAAGUUGUGCCGUGUGUUGACCGCGCUUUAUUCCUAGAAAAGAUUACGGAAUUGAAGCUCCAAAAAGUAAAAAAUCAGAAAUCAAUUUUUACAUUGAAGAUGGUUUGUAUGAAAAAGCAAAACAAUUUUUAAAGCAAAAAAAGGAGCGCAUUAGUGAUGAUCCAAUAGUUCUGUCGUCUGCCGACGAAAAUACUAUAAAACGGAAGAAAUGGUCCUAUGCCAACGGGAAGGUAUGGCCAACAUCUAUGACGCAUUGAAAUGCGCCCAAAUCAAUUAAUUAAAUAAAAAUAUCUUCUACACAG